rnacentral:piRNA from 1 species
UCUAGUUUGGNGGCUGUAGAUGUAUGGGCC